AUUGAACGCUGGCGGCAGGCUUAACACAUGCAAGUCGAACGAGUGGCGGACGGGUGAGUAAUGUUUGGGAAACUGCCCGAUGGAGGGGGAUAACUACGGGAAACGGUAGCUAAUACCGCAUACCAUCGGAUGUGCCCAGAUGGGAUUAGCUAGUAGGUGGGGUAACGGCUCACCUAGCCGACGAUCCCUAGCUGGUCUGAGAGGAUGACCAGCCACACUGGAACUGAGACACGGUCCAGACUCCUACGGAAGGCAGCAGUGGGGAAUAUUGCACAAUGGGCGCAAGCCUAGUACAGCCAUGCCGCGUGUAUGGAGAAAGCCUUCGGGUUGUAAAGUGCUUUCGGCGGGGAGGCGUUACUCACAGAAAAAGCACCGGCUAACUCCGUGCCAGCAGCCGCGGUAAUUC
rnacentral:rRNA from 1 species